AGAAAACCUCCGUUUUAUUAUGGCCAGUUCCGUAGCUUUCAUCAUUCUGUGGAAAAUCGAAGAAGCCCAGAGACGAAGAGAAGAUACACAGAAACACAUUGCAAGCGCACCGUCUCAUUUCUGUGUCUCUUGUCUUCACCUCAAUUGCGCUGCCGUAUGGGCCAACUCACCCAAAGCAACGUUUUAUUGCAUCACUCAUCGCGUUAAGCACGCUCGCUAAUUUUGGUAGGCUGACGUGACCUCAUAGAUUAUUGCAUGCCUGUUUU
rnacentral:lncRNA from 1 species